GAUACUGACAGGCCACCCUCACGUCUUCCCAGAGCCUUCUCUCCUCCAGAAUGAACAGCCCCAGCUCUCUCAGCCCAUCCUCAAAGGAGAGAUGUUCCACCCCUUGGAUCAUUUUUUUGUGGACCUCCUAUGGUUGUGCCUUAUUUUAUGGCAACAAUCAAGAAAAAAUUCUGAGCAAUAAGGAAAAGCAGAAAAAUAUACAACGUGUGAGGAAAGGAAGUUGUAAAGAGCAAAGAAAAAGUGUUCAUAUAAAAAUAUAUUGCUGAAAAAUGCGGUUUUGAGAUGAAUCAGUGAAGAUCAUUGUCCAGUUUUGUUGGUAUGUUCUGGAAGGCAAGACUUCUCACUGCUGUCUCCAUCUGCUCCAACCAAGACAGAUUUCCAAACAUAAGUGAUUCAGCUCACAUACCUUCCCACUCCUUCUGACAAGACAUUCACUUCCAUUAGAUGGUAUCUCUGCUAGCUGAAGUUGUUGCCAAAUGAACCCUGACACCAUAACAAACUACUUCUGUGAGAAAAAACAGUGGAUUGUCUAGGUUGACCAUAACAUUACAGUGCUGUAAUACCCCAAUCAAAGGACUUUUAUUGCUUCCCAUGGCACAGUGACCUUUCUGCGUUUGGACCAUGUAAUUAUACAUUCAAAAUGAACUGGCAACUUUUCAGUUACUGAAUCAAUUAAAAUAUAAAUGCUUACCUUUCUAAGAUUUUGCAGAGAUGUAUUUAUAUACUUAAAUGUGAAUGAACUUCAUUCAGUUGGGUGUUUUUUCUUAUAAUUUUUAAUGUUCCUUCCUGUCCUCCCUUCCUUGCCUUCUUUUGUCAGUGGUGUUUCACUUAUCUAUUUUCUUUGGUCUUCGAAGUCUAAACAGAUAUUUGAUGUGAGGAACCCCUGCUGUGUAAAAUGGCCUGGAAUUCCCAAAGUCCCAUAUUAUGAGUUUGUUUGCUUUGAGUUUGUGUAAAACUUUGGAUAGAGAGCCUUUGAAAGAAAUCCCCUCAAAAAGCAGUCAUGUAAAACUAUUUUUAUUGAAAAUACAUCUACAAAGUAAUGUUUCUCAAUCCACUCUGUAUGCUUACCAAUGCAGAGCCAGUGAGGGCUGAGCAAGGGAAUCUUUCUAUAAUACCUGAUUUCCAUAAGAAACAAAGUUAGUAUAAAAAAAGAUCGCAUAUUUUGUGAAACAAUUCAUUUUUCUCAGCUGAUGUCAUAGGAAGACAGCCAUUUACAUUAUGUCUUUGCAAUGUAUUUCCAAACAGAAUCUUAACAAAAAUUAAAUCGUUAUGCUGUACAUUCUACAGUUAAAAUUUAUACACACAUUUUGAAUACAGUAUCUAUAUAAAAAUAUCUCUAAUUACACAUAUCAGAAAAUGUCUAUCUAUAUCCUAGAUUUGCAUUCUGUUAGCAAAAACGUAAAAGUCACACUUGCUUUCUUUCAGUGAGAGAUUAAUACAAGAGCUUUGUAGGUUUGACCACUCAAUGCUCUGAGUUAAACCCUGCUCACUUCAAUCACUGAAGAGUUCCUGCUCCUACUGUCUGGACUAAUCAACUGGAGAAGAUGGGCAGGAGUUUUCAGUCCUAAACAAAACAGUCUUGCCUUGUUGCUCUAAACAUGGGAAAAAAUUUACCUUCUAUCAGGAUGUUGACAUUUUCAUUACGGUGAAAUACACCACAUUUAUGUUCUCUUAAAGACAAAAGCAGCAUACUGAAUAUUUUUUGUGUUGCACUUGGGGCAUUACAAGGGAAUCCUUCAUUCAUAUAGUCAGAUUUUAUUUUGUUGGGCAAGGAAGAAAGAAGAAAAAUGAACAUUUAAAUAAAAACAAUCACUCAAUAUUACUCUGCCUUCUGAUUAAUAUUUCUUCAUUUCCC